rnacentral:rRNA from 1 species
CCGCCAGAGAACUACGAGCACAAACUUAAAACUCAAAAGACUUGACGGUGUCCCACCCAACUAGAGGAGCCUGUUCUAUAAUCGAUUCUCCCCGCUAAACCUAACCACUUCUUGCCCAUCAGUCUGUAUACUUCCGUCGCAAGCUUACCUUAUGAAUGUCUACUAGUAAGCAACAAGAUUCUACAUCUACACGUCAGGUCAAAGUGCAGCCUAUGAAGUGGGUAGAAAUGGGCUACNAUUUCUACCUUAGAACAUACGAAAUACCACAUGAAACCCAGUCAUGAAGGCGGAUUUAGCAGUAAAACGGAAAUAAAGUGUCCUUUUUAAGCCGGCACUGGGACGCGU